GAUAUUAAUCAAAAGUAAAUUUCAAAUCAAGUAUGAAGCAAAAGCAGUUAUAAGUUCUAUUCACAAAAAAAAACUUUCUACAUCAUAACAAUGCAUAAAUAGAUAAAAGUAUAACACAAUGAUUUUCAGAAUGCAUAACAUUACACAUGCAUAAAAAUUGUCAUAUUUGUUUACAAUUCAAGCACUUCAGAUUUUGCCACAUAUGGGAAUUCUGAUGUUAUUUAAAUCAGAUUUCUGUUGUUUACACAUGAACAAAAAAAAUAAUUACAAAAGAAAAUUCAUUGAUACAAGAAUUAAAUAUACAUGUGUUAAAAUAUUCACCAAGUAUGAUACACUGAUAAACAUUCUAUCCAGCAAAGUUCAGGGCUUAAGUUGAGACAGAUCAACCUUGUUAAAUAAAUCUGUAUAACUAAACAAAUGCACUAUGUGUGAUAUCCUAUGUUAAAAAGACAAUCUUUGUUUGAACUUUCCAGCAGAGACUGGUGUAGAUUUAGAUUCUGUGGAUGUCUUCUUGUCUGGUGUUUCCAUACCAUUCAUGUUUUUAUCCGGUGUCAAGGAAUCCUGUUUCUGAAGAA
rnacentral:lncRNA from 1 species